AUGACGUAGAGCGCGAAUAUAAGAUCGACAAGGCGUCACGCCAGGAUUGGGAAGAGUCGUCCAACCGGGCGAUGGACAUUGCCCUUCGGGUCCGUAAGCCGAAGAACUACCCCUUCGACGGCGCGGCCAACAUCAAAUACCCGCUGGUGACGGUCGCAGCGCUUCAAUUCGGCGCGCGCGCCUAUCCGGCCAUCGUUGACGGUUC
rnacentral:misc_RNA from 1 species